CACUGGCCCGUAUAGUUUUACU
rnacentral:miRNA from 1 species